UACGGAGGGUGCAAGCGUUAUCCGGAUUCACUGGGUUUAAAGGGUGCGUAGGCGGGCAUUUAAGUCAGUGGUGAAAUACCUGAGCUUAACUUGGGAACUGCCAUUGAUACUAUUUGUCUUGAAUGUCGUGGAGGUUAGCGGAAUAUGUCAUGUAGCGGUGAAAUGCUUAGAUAUGACAUAGAACACCUAUUGCGAAGGCAGCUAACUACGCGAAUAUUGACGCUGAGGCACGAAAGCGUGGGGAGCGAUCCGG
rnacentral:rRNA from 1 species